rnacentral:rRNA from 1 species
AAUGCUGACAUAAGUAACGAUAAAACGAGUGAAAAACUCGUUCGCCGGAAGACCAAGGGUUCCUGUCCAACGUUAAUCGGGGCAGGGUGAGUCGGCCCCUAAGGCGAGGCUGAAAAGCGUAGUCGAUGGGAAACGGGUUAAUAUUCCCGUACUUGGUAAAGCUGCGAUGUGGGGACGGAGAAGGUUAGGUUAGCAGACUGUUGGAUGUCUGUUUAAGUUGGUAGGUGGGAAGUUUAGGCAAAUCCGGACUUCCAUAACACUGAGAGAUGAUGACGAGUUUCUACGGAAAUGAAGUAACUGAUACCACGCUUCCAGGAAAAGCCACUAAGCGAAAGGCUUUACUAAACCGUACUGAAAACCGACACAGGUGGUCAGGUAGAGAAUACUCAGGCGCUUGAGAGAACUCGGGUGAAGGAACUAGGCAAAAUAGCACCGUAACUUCGGGAGAAGGUGCGCUGGCGUAGGUUGUAAGAGUAUACCUCCGAAGGCUGAACCAGUCGAAGAUACCAGCUGGCUGCAACUGUUUAUUAAAAACACAGCACUCUGCAAACACGAAAGUGGACGUAUAGGGUGUGAUGCCUGCCCGGUGCUGGAAGGUUAAUUGAUGGUGUUAUCGAAAGAGAAGCUCCUGAUCGAAGCCCCAGUAAACGGCGGCCGUAACUAUAACGGUCCUAAGGUAGCGAAAUUCCUUGUCGGGUAAGUUCCGACCUGCACGAAUGGCAUAAUGAUGGCCAGGCUGUCUCCACCCGAGACUCAGUGAAAUUGAAAUCGCCGUGAAGAUGCGGUGUACCCGCGGCUAGACGGAAAGACCCCGUGAACCUUUACUAUAGCUUGACACUGAACAUUGAAUUUUGAUGUGUAGGAUAGGUGGGAGACUUAGAAGCAGGCACGCCAGUGCUUGUGGAGUCGACCUUGAAAUACCACCCUUUAACGUUUGAUGUUCUAACGAAGAUUACGAAACGUGGUCUCGGACAGUGUCUGGUGGGUAGUUUGACUGGGGCGGUCUCCUCCCAAAGCGUAACGGAGGAGCACGAAGGUUUGCUAAUCACGGUCGGACAUCGUGAGGUUAGUGCAAUGGUAUAAGCAAGCUUAACUGCGAGACAGACAAGUCGAGCAGGUGCGAAAGCAGGUCAUAGUGAUCCGGUGGUUCUGAAUGGAAGGGCCAUCGCUCAACGGAUAAAAGGUACUCCGGGGAUAACAGGCUGAUACCGCCCAAGAGUUCAUAUCGACGGCGGUGUUUGGCACCUCGAUGUCGGCUCAUCACAUCCUGGGGCUGAAGUAGGUCCCAAGGGUAUGGCUGUUCGCCAUUUAAAGUGGUACGCGAGCUGGGUUUAGAACGUCGUGAGACAGUUCGGUCCCUAUCUGCCGUGGGCGUUGGAGAAUUGAGAGGGGCUGCUCCUAGUACGAGAGGACCGGAGUGGACGCAUCACUGGUGUACCAGUUGUCUCGCCAGAGGCAUUGCUGGGUAGCUAAAUGCGGAAGAGAUAAGUGCUGAAAGCAUCUAAGCACGAAACUCGCCUUAAGAUGAGUUCUCCCUAGCUAUAAGCUAGUAAGGGUUGUUGAAGACUACGACGUAGAUAGGUCUGGUGUGUAAGCGGUGUGAGCCGUUGAGCUAACAGAUACUAAUUGCCCGAGAGGCUUAACUAU